GAUGAACGCUGGCGGCGUGCUUAACACAUGCAAGUCGAACGGAAAGGCCCUUGCUUGCAGGGGUACUCGAGUGGCGAACGGGUGAGUAACACGUGGGUGAUCUGCCCUGCACUUCGGGAUGAGCCUGGGAAACUGGGUCUAAUACCGGAUAGGACCAUCGUUUAGUGUCGGUGGUGGAAAGUUUUUUCGGUGUGGGAUGAGCUCGCGGCCUAUCAGCUUGUUGGUGGGGUAAUGGCCUACCAAGGCGUCGACGGGUAGCCGGCCUGAGAGGGUGUACGGCCACAUUGGGACUGAGAUACGGCCCAGACUCCUACGGGAGGCAGCAGUGGGGAAUAUUGCACAAUGGGCGCAAGCCUGAUGCAGCGACGCCGCGUGGGGGAUGACGGCCUUCGGGUUGUAAACUCCUUUCGUCAGGGACGAAGCGAAAGUGACGGUACCUGGAUAAGAAGCACCGGCUAACUACGUG
rnacentral:rRNA from 1 species